GAUGAACGCUGGCGGCGUGCCUAAUACAUGCAAGUCGAGCGAACAGACGAGGAGCUUGCUCCUCUGACGUUAGCGGCGGACGGGUGAGUAACACGUGGAUAACCUACCUAUAAGACUGGGAUAACUUCGGGAAACCGGAGCUAUACCGGAUAAUAUGUUGAACCGCAUGGUUCAAUAGUGAAAGACGGUUUUACUGUCACUUAUAGAUGGAUCCGCGCCGCAUUAGCUAGUUGGUAAGGUAACGGCUUACCAAGGCAACGAUGCGUAGCCGACCUGAGAGGGUGAUCGGCCACACUGGAACUGAGACACGGUCCAGACUCCUACGGGAGGCAGCAGUAGGGAAUCUUCCGCAAUGGGCGAAAGCCUGACGGAGCAACGCCGCGUGAGUGAUGAAGGUCUUCGGAUCGUAAAACUCUGUUAUUAGGGAAGAACAAAUGUGUAAGUAACUAUGCACGUCUUGACGGUACCUAAUCAGAAAGCCACGGCUAACUACGUG
rnacentral:rRNA from 1 species